rnacentral:sRNA from 1 species
UAUCUGAUGUAAAAAAUAAUCCGCAUUGUUGAGGACACUGAUUAAGGCCACAUGUGGUUAUCCGGCAAUUUCUGACGAUAUAGGCCGCAACUCAAAAUCUAUUAUGAGAAUGUUAUCGCCAGAUGUUGACCCCGGCAUUAAGGCGUUUAUGAGCGUCGUCAAUGCAGCAGAGCGACAUUCACAGAAAUCUGCAUAAAUUGACGCAAACAACAGGCCCGCAUAAGUGCGGGCUUUUUUGUGUCUGGCGUUUAGCAAAAU